GAUGAACGCUGGCGGCGUGCUUAAUACAUGCAAGUCGAGCGAACAGACGCGGAGCUUGCUCCUCUCACGUUAGCGGCGCACGGGUGAGUCACACGAGGAUAACCUACCUAUAUGACGGGGAUAACUUCGGGAAACCGGAGCAAAUACCGGAUAAUCUAUUGAACCGUAUGGUUGAAUGGUGAAUGUCGGCUUUGCUGUCACUUCUCGCUGCAUCUGCGCCGCAUUAGGUAGUUGGUAAGGUCACGGCUUACCAAGGCGACGAUGCGUAGCCGACCUGAGAGGGUGAUCGGCCGCACUGGAACGGAGACAGGGUCCAGGGGCCUACGGGACGCAGCAGUAGGCAAUCGUCGGCAAUGGGGGGAAACCUUACGGAACGGGGCGGCGUCAGUGACGAAGAUCUUCGGAGCGGGAAACUCGCUUUUUGGGUAAGAACAACUGUGUCCGGAACUGUGCACGUAUUGACGGUAACUGGUCAGAAAGCCACGGCUAACUACGUG
rnacentral:rRNA from 1 species